CACAUUCCACCCAGUGAGAAGCAGAACCCAGGAAAGCUAAUGGGGAGGCCUUAAUCAAUUAACUCCAUCAAGGAAACGGGAGCGCAACAGCGGGGGCACCAAACGUCUGGAACCAGAGCCCCAAGAGCUGCUCUGGGUCUGAGACUGCGAGCCGGUCACCGCACGCCCCCGAACAGACUUUCCUUCCUGGCCUCGGUCUGUUCAUCUCUGACAUGAGGGGUUUGGGCCCAACGGUCUUCCCUAAGGUCCCUUCUAGCCCCACAGUUCUACCAUACUUUCAAUUAGGAAAAAACAAACAAACAACUAAGAAGGUAGAAGCCUUGCUGCUCAACUUCAAGGUGAGAAAAGGCUGCGCUGGCUGCGUGUUCUACAUGCAUAUUCAUCAGUCUCUCGGCAGCCAGAGAGGCCCCAUUGUUUUAUUAGUCUGCUUCGUUGAGCGCACGGUUGGCUUGGAUGUAGCCCAAGGCUACUUGGCAGGUGACAGAAGCCUCGGUUUUCCUUUCUGUCCAACAAAACAAAAAAGUCCACCGUCUGGGUUCCGCCACCCAUAUGGAUUUUUCGAUAACAAAGGCACUUUUGAGUCAACUUCAAAAGCAGAAGCUUAGGCUAACUCUACUGAUUCUAAAAUUAGGAGGUAGAAAGACUACCUGCACUUCUCCCCGCGGGUAAGUGUGGUUUGACGUCAUAAAUGGACUAGGAACCUACCUUCCCUUUGUCGUCAUCGCAGGAGCUCAUCUGCGCUGUGCCACUCACUGCUGGGUGUGACUUUAGGUAAAUUCUGUAUCCCCCUCCCGUGCCCCCACCCUUCCCUCAAAGAGGUUGGACUAGACGGUCCCCAAGGGCCACCGCCUCUAAGGCCCCAAGGUCAGGCCAUCUACCUGUAAUAAAAGAAAUGCACGCAGAUACGUAUUAGAGGCGAGUUCGACGUACAGAAGAAGAAACUUGAAUCCAGGCGUUACCUGCCUCCACGUCUUGGGGGUUCACCAAGCAUGUGUUCCAUGGGGGACCCAGGCCUGUGUCUUUACACACCCAGCCAAGGUCAGGACUUCGGAAAUGUUGCUCCUAUUUAACAGAUGAAGAAAUCUCAAGGACCGAGGCCUGCUCCAAAGGCCACGCUCAUUAAGUAAUAGGUCCUGGGGGUCUCGGUGUGGGGGGAACCAGUACAGAAAUGGUAUGUGCUUUUCAUGUGGCAUGUGCUGAAGUGUCCCCACCCCGUGUGCCUGCUGGAUGUGUGCACUCCCCGCGUGCGUGCUUCUCCCCCUUUAUCGCUGCCUUGAGAACUGGGGAGAAGGGAGAUUGAGGGCUUUCCUGGAAGACGUUCUAUGUGUCUGUAAUGAGUGGGGCACAGAGGACGUGAAGAUGCUAUUUUGUUUGCUUUGUGUUUUCUGGGGAAAAAAAAAAAAAGGAAACCCACUUGAAUUACACCUGAGCAAACAGUUCCCUGG